rnacentral:rRNA from 1 species
UACGUAGGGCCAAGCGUUGUCCGGAUUUAUUGGCGUAAAGAGCUCGUAGGCGGUUCGGCAAGUCAGCUGUGAAAUCUCCACGCUCAACGUGGAAGGGUCAGCUGAUACUGCUGUGACUUGAGUCCGGUAGGGAGUGUGGAAUUCCGGUGUAGCGGUGAAAUGCGCAGAUAUCGGGAGGAACACCAGUAGCGAAGGCGGCACUCUGGGCCGGUACUGACGCUGAGGAGGCGAAAAGCGUGGGGAGCAACAGG